UAAGUUUUCUAUCGGAACAGUUAGGAGAUACAAGUUGUGUUCAGCUUGCUUGCUCCAUGUUUACGUAAGUUUUUGGACCAAAAGCAAUGCGAUCGAUUAUGUGAAAUCUAAAGCUGCUGGGUGCAUGGCAGUUUUCUGUCACCGGAGCAUCUAAAUAAAUAACUGAACUCAAGCUAGCCCUAAAAUAACAAAAACCAAAUUCAAGCUGAACUCGAGGACUAGUGUCCGUAUGGUAUGGAGCGAGUCGGCAGUUGUAACUCCAGC
rnacentral:lncRNA from 1 species